rnacentral:rRNA from 1 species
UACAGAGGGUGCAAGCGUUGUUCGGAAUUAUUGGGCGUAAAGCGCGUGUAGGCGGCUUUGCAAGUCGGGUGUGAAAGCCCUCAGCUCAACUGAGGAAGUGCGCCCGAAACUGCAGAGCUUGAGUACCGGAGAGGAUGGUGGAAUUCCCCAAGUAGAGGUGAAAUUCGUAGAUAUGGGGAGGAACACCGGUGGCGAAGGCGACCAUCUGGACGGAUACGUGACGCUGAGACGCGAAAGCGUGGGUAGCAAACAGGA